rnacentral:rRNA from 1 species
AGUGAACGCUGGCGGUAGGCCUAACACAUGCAAGUCGAACGGCAGCACAGUAAGAGCUUGCUCUUACGGGUGGCGAGUGGCGGACGGGUGAGGAAUACAUCGGAAUCUACUUUUUCGUGGGGGAUAACGUAGGGGAACUUACACUAAUACCGCAUACGACCUACGGGUGAAAGCAGGGGAUCUUCGGACCUUGCGCGAUUGAAUGAGCCGAUGUCGGAUUAGCUAGUUGGCGGGGUAAAGGCCCACCAAGGCGACGAUCCGUAGCUGGUCUGAGAGGAUGAUCAGCCACACUGGAACUGAGACACGGUCCAGACUCCUACGGGAGGCAGCAGUGGGGAAUAUUGGACAAAGGGCGCAAGCCUGAUCCAGCCAUACCGCGUGGGUGAAGAAGGCCUUCGGGUUGUAAAGCCCUUUUGUUGGGAAAGAAAAGCAGCAGGUUAAUACCCCGCCGUUCUGACGGUACCCAAAGAAUAAGCACCGGCUAACUUCGUG